UCCAACCGUGCGGGAAGGCAACUAGUAGGCAAGGGCAUGGCCAGGGGACCCUGAGAGAGAGUACCAAGCGAGGUAGAAGAGGCAGCGCGCGCACAUGUGCCAAGGCAGCAGCCGCAUGGCACGCCGAGCGAGCCCGGGACAAAUGGAUGCAACGGACGGGGAAACGGGACAAAAAACCGCAUGCUCUCCCCCCUCGGUGAGUUUGGACCACCAGCCAGGCCCGACGUUACACGCUUGGCAAG
rnacentral:lncRNA from 7 species